rnacentral:sRNA from 1 species
AUUGGGUGUGGUGGCUCACGCCUGUAAUCCCAGCAACUCAGGAGACUGAGACAGGAGGAUCACAAGUUCAAUUUAGCAAGCUCCUAAGGAUCACAGCUACAGCAAUUUAGUAAGGUCCUAAGCAACUUAGUGAGACCCUGUCUCAA